CAAUAGCGUAUAUUUAAGUUGUUGCAGUUAAAAAGCUCGUAGUUGGAUUUCGGGUGGGACGCAGCGGUCUCGCAUUGCGUUUGUACUGCUGCAGCCCUCCUUCUUGCCGGGGGCGGCCUCUCAGACUUCACUGUCUGGGGGUCAGAAUCGGCGAUGUUACUUUGAGUAAAUUAGAGUGUUCAAAGCAAGCUUACGCUCUGAAUAUAAUAGCAUGGGAUAACACGACAGGACUCUGGCCUAUCGUGUUGGUCUAUAGGACCAGAGUAAUGAUUAAGAGGGACAGUCGGGGGCAUUCGUAUUCCGUUGUCAGAGGUGAAAUUCUUGGAUUUACGGAAGACGAACAUCUGCGAAAGCAUUUGCCAAGGAUGUUUUCAUUGA
rnacentral:rRNA from 1 species